rnacentral:rRNA from 1 species
GAUGAACGCUGGCGGCGUGCCUAAUACAUGCAAGUCGAGCGAACAGAUGAGGAGCUUGCUCCUCUGACGUUAGCGGCGGACGGGUGAGUAACACGUGGAUAACCUACCUAUAAGACUGGGAUAACUUCGGGAAACCGGAGCUAAUACCGGAUAAUAUAUUGAACCGCAUGGUUCAAUAGUGAAAGACGGUUUUGCUGUCACUUAUAGAUGGAUCCGCGCCGCAUUAGCUAGUUGGUAAGGUAACGGCUUACCAAGGCAACGAUGCGUAGCCGACCUGAGAGGGUGAUCGGCCACACUGGAACUGAGACACGGUCCAGACUCCUACGGGAGGCAGCAGUAGGGAAUCUUCCGCAAGGGGCGAAAGCUUGACGGAGCAACGCCGCGUGAGUGAUGAAGGUCUUCGGAUCGUAAAACUCUGUUAUUAGGGAAGAACAAAUGUGUAAGUAACGAUGCACGUCUGGACGGUACCUAAUCAGAAAGCCACGGCUAACUACGU